AAGAAAGAAAAAUUUUCAAGCGUGAAACUUUUUUUUCUUUUUUAGUUUUGUUUUUUUGCCGGCUUCUUC
rnacentral:ribozyme from 1 species